rnacentral:rRNA from 1 species
UACAGAGGUGCCGAGCGUUAGGCGGAAUCACUGGGCUUAAAGCGUGUGUAGGCGGAUGCCUAAGUACCUUGUGAAAUCCCCCGGCUUAACCGGGGAACUGCUUGGUAUACUGGGUGUCUUGAGCCACUUAGGGGCGACCGGAACAAACGGUGGAGCGGUGAAAUGCGUAGAUAUCGUUUGGAACGCCAAUGGUGAAAACAGGUCGCUGGGGAGUGUGCUGGACGCUGAGACACGAAAGCCAGGGGAGCGGAAACGGGGA